rnacentral:snRNA from 1 species
AAUAGACACUUUUCUCUUUC